rnacentral:rRNA from 1 species
GAUGAACGCUAGCGGCAGGCUUAAUACAUGCAAGUCGAGGGGCAGCGCGGGUAGCAAUACCUGGCGGCGACCGGCAAACGGGUGCGGAACACGUACGCAACCUUCCCAUAACUGGUGAAUAGCCCUCCGAAAGGAGGAUUAAUACACCGUAACAUAACGAAGAGGCAUCUUUUUGUUAUUAUAGUAGCAAUACGGUUUUGGAUGGGCGUGCGCCUGAUUAGGUAGUUGGCGGGGUAACGGCCCACCAAGCCUGCGAUCAGUAACUGGUGUGAGAGCACGACCAGGCACACGGGCACUGGGACACGGGUCCGACUCCUACGGGGGGCGGCAGUAAGGAAUAUUGGUAAAUGGACGAAAGUCUGAACCAGCCAUGCCGCGUGAAGGAUUAAGGCCCUCUGGGUUGUAAACUUCUUUUAUCUGGGACGAAAAAAGGGCAUUCUUGCCCACUUGACGGUACCAGAGGAAUAAGCACCGGCUAACUCCGUGCCAGCCGCCGCGGUAA